CUUUAGCCCCGAUUGUAGUGGAAAUCCUUGCCUUUUUAAGGCAAGAUUGUAACGGAAAGCGGGAAAAUGG
rnacentral:sRNA from 1 species